rnacentral:piRNA from 1 species
ACAGGACUACAUUGACUACAGGUUAAG